UUAAAUACUUGAUUCAUCUCUACGAUUAUGGCAGUAUCUUUUUUUGUUGAACUGAAACACCAUGCAUUCCAAACUUACGACAGACCAACACAAUCGACGGUCACAACUCGGGUUCACAGAGGCACUCUGGCUACCAAGAUUCGCCAGCACAUGUGCUGGUGGUGAUUUUUUACAAGCUCUCGAGCAGCACAUGACUUUGGCCUCUAUGAUACCUAACUGGGGACAUUUGGCUUCACGGAACAACACCCCCAACAGAGACAGGUCUAAUGAUGUAGAGGUAACUUAUUGUUGCAGGCCCAGGGAAUCAGUUCCCAAAAUCAAACGCCCCAUAACUUGCAUUUCAGCAAAUUGGAUUGCCUGCAGAAGGGUCGUAGCCUCAGCUUGCAACGGUCUAAUGAUGUAGAGGUAACUUAUUGUUGUAGCCCCAGGGAAUCAGUUUCCAAAAUCACACGCCCCAUAACUUGCAUUUCGGUAAAUUGGAUUGCCUGUAGAAGGGUCGUAGCCUCAGCUUGCAAAGCGCCAGACUAAGCUGUUAGAUGCCGGCUGUAGCACAAAGGAUGUCUCCAUCAGCAUCCCUAGCAAUUAGGCCACACCGACCCUCCUUUGACUCGCCUCGGAACACUGCAUCCACGUUCAGUUUGAUAAAACCAGUGGGGGGUUUCAGCCAGGAAGAAACAUGUUUCUGCACACCAGGAGGUUUAGGCUCGAGGAACUCUUUCCAUUCAGCACACCUAGCGAUAUUAAAUUGAAAUUCCAUCUCUGGCAUGCACUUUUACUUGUGAUUCACUUUCUUUCUCCCACUCCACCAGACCCAUAGAAGAGCAAUAGCUCGCAUCUUCACUUCAUUUGGCAUUUUCAACAGGGCUAGAAGAACCUCCUUCAGGGUUUGGUAGUACACUUCCAGAUAUCACGCCAUAAGUUGUCUUGCCCCCUGUUACCCGACGAGCUCUCUCCCAGUGGCCUAGUCUUCUGAUUCUGCAGCAGAUCGAGGUGAACUCUGUAAACAGGCCCUUGCUGUCAGGUUGCCAUGCUAUGAGAUCCUCAUAGUGUUCGCAGAUUGGGAUGCUAAGGAUCACACGAG
rnacentral:lncRNA from 1 species